UGGAGAUUAGUGCCUGUAUAUCAAAAAACUCCAGAGAGCUCCUGUGCCCCUUCUGUCACAUGAGAAGGACUCAGCAAGAAGGCACCGUCUGUGAGGAGUGGACCCUCCUCAGUACAGUGAAUCUGUCAAUACCCUGAUUUUGGACUUUCCAUCCUCCAGAACUCCUGAAUGUGGCUCUGCAUCUCGUAAGCAAAGCCGCCGACUCACCCAGCAUAGGAAGUGGCCCGAGCUCACCCAGGAAUGGGUGCUCAGUAAUGACGGCUCUCUGUCAUCCACGCUGCGUCUAAUACGCGUGCCAGGGCCUGCGUGUUGCAGGCUGCACACGCCAACUCUUCAGCGCCUCCCUGCCCAUUUCAGGAUGCUUACGAGGACUAGACAACAAUGAUGUAAAAUGCUGUCGAGGAAACAUUUCUGACUAUUUCCCUCAAACCAGCCUGCGUGCUGACUCACUCGGCAGCACAUUCAAGAUUGAAGGAUGCUUCCUUUCCCCAUGUGUGUUACCUAUCCUGGAUUUUAAUUUCAGAGGAAGAGCCAUAAAUAUGUGUCCUUCAAUUUGAAAGGACACACUGAGAAUUCAGCAGCUGGGCAAGGGAGGCUAAAGAUAAGGUUUCUUAAGGCAGGAAGAAGGAGGUGCACAGCUAUAAAAGCAAGAAGGAAUCCAUGGUGUUGAUGUUUGCAUGCUGAAUUCUGGCUGUGCUUACAGACCCAGUGGUUCUAUUUAGGAGGCGGGAGGGAGAAGAGUCCUCCACAUGUGCAGAAAUAACAAAUGGCCAUACAUCUAAGGGCAGGCAAGAUCUGCAAAUGACCAGAUUUCUGCUGGCUAAGCAAGAGGAGAGAAAGGCAACAGCAGCCUCCUCCAGCUCUGCAGAGACUUCAGCUUCCAGCCUGGAUACUUCCCUGUGAAUUUCCAGUGUACAUCCGUCCAACUUUGUAUCCAGGCUUCCCUUCAGCUUGCAUUUCUUUGGUAGUCCUUUGUGAUCUCUACCUAGUGGUUAUUUUGUGAGAUUGAUACAUAGUAGCAUUGCAAUUUGUACUAGAGUCUUUGUACAGAGA